rnacentral:lncRNA from 1 species
CCGACAUGACACAGCACCACCUAGCAGGGAUUACUCCUGAUCUAUUCACAAAAAAACGACCUUAAUUUAUCAUUCAUAUUGGUAGCAAUAAAAUUUUAUGUAGCUACACAGGUGACAGGUUGGUAAUAGUAACUAUAUAUAACAUGACAAAUGCUGUCUGUGUAUACUAGAAACCAGUACUCUUCAUCUGCAAAAAAGUACCAGUACACCAGUACUCUAAUAAUUUGCUCUCGAUUGAAUGCGUACUGAUAUAGUACAUAGAUAUCCAGUUGUAUACUAGAAAAUGUACAUCAAGUCACUCGAAAUCUGCUGCCAGAGAAUAGUGCCAUGCUCAACCUGGAAAGAACUGCUAGCAGCCUACUCUAGUUUCCAACAGCAAUCUCUUCAAAGUUCCAGUCCCUGACGAGAUCCCGUGAAACAGCACGGCUUCGUUGAAGUCGAGGAGCACCCUCAGUGCCUUGGCCAGUAGCCAUUAGAGGAAAAGGGGUCACCUUUGAUGUCCCUACAGUGUUAGCAGUUCCAGCAGGCAUUACUCGUCGUGUUAGGCAGGCAACAACAGCUCCACAUCUGUUCUCCUCCUCUGAACUUGAGACUGAAUAGCUUCUGAAAGAGUGCGAGGGGCUGCUCAUGCCAUGGCAUACUAGGCAAGCUAGACUCAUGGUUACAAUCCAGCUAAAAUCGCUCUUGUUCCUGUAAAAAGAAAGGCAAUGCAUACAAGAAAAUAAGCAACAGGAGGAACACAAUUCUAUGAAUGUCAAGCAAUAAUGAACUUUUUUCCCAUUAAGCUAUACUUUGUGAAAGCAAGAUGUACAGAAGACUAUGUUUUGUAACUGCAAUGUUAGUGAAACCAAAGGACAAGGGGUGGUGCGCUCUUGCAGGGCCAGGAAGGAUUGCUUCGUUAAUAGAUUGUUAAAUUAUCUGAAAAAUUCUAGCAAUUAGCUAGAAAAUAGUCCUCAUGUUGGACAACCGAAGCUUCACACCGCAUACAUCAAAAGGGGCACAAACUCUAAGACAGAUAGAACUAAGAAAGCAAGGGGCAAACAAUUCAAAGAUUUUUGCUUAAGCAAGAAAAUGAGAUAUCUCAAACAUGAACCCCACAACAAUUAACUAAAAUGAAAGUCAUGUAUAUUAUAGUUACGCUGUUGCAUCAUGGGUGUCAGUGUCAGUUCCAGAUUGCAUUAGCUCAACCAUUGGAAAGUGGCAAUGUCUGAUUAAAUGAAUAAUCAUUGUUUUGCAAGUUGCAUAAAAUCUAUAAUUAACCAACAUUAUCUUUUGCUAUCCAGAAAGCAACCCCAGCAUGAAUACCAUACAAAAAACAGCCCUUGACAAACUGGUAAAGCAUAUUCUUCAUUUCCUACAUAAACCUGGGCAUUUGACCGCUGAUUAGCAAAUAAGGCAAAAGAUUAUUGCAGUAUUAGCUUGGACAUGUCAUUAAAACAAAAGCCAGGUGGCAAAUUAUCCAAAAAAAUGAAGGCGCCGGUUUGAAAGGCAGAACCAUUCAAUUUAGCACCAAGGAUUUCCGAUGGAGAAAAACAUAAGAUCUCGCAACAAAAUUAUAAAGCACGUCACUUUCUCACACUAAACCUCACAACAGGUUCAAUAGGAACAUGUACAAUGCUCCAAUCCUUACCACGAAGCGCGAACACAAUCACUUUACAGAAACGAAGAUUCCCGAACAACGAAAACGCGAGUGGCAUGGGGUUCAGUUGAACCCCCAGUUUUUUUUUUUUUUUUGGGGGGGGGGGGGAACGAACAAAAACUGUUACUAGCAGCUUCCAGAUCCAGGUAGAGAAGCUAGGGCUAACGCGAAUUCGACACAAAGUGUGGGUACAUAUAACCAGACGAGAAUCAGGAUGGCGGACGACACUCACCAGCGAGCGAGGACGCGGCCGCCGGCACCGCUGCCCGUCGCCGGACAGAGACCGCCGCAGACGAGGCGGCGGCGGGGGGGCGGAGACUCGCGACGAGGCCCUCCUCCUCCUCCUCCGCGAGCCGAGGCCGCUCCGACCGGCUCGGGCUCACCGGCGCGAGGCGUCGAGUUCGAGCCCCGGAGAGAGAGAGAGGGAUCUUGGUGGGAAGAGAGAGAGAGGCGCGGCCGCGGGUAGGAGAGAGAGAAAGACGCUGGCUUUAUU